UACGAAGGGGGCUAGCGUUGCUCGGAAUCACUGGGCGUAAAGGGUGCGUAGGCGGGUUUUUAAGUCAGGGGUGAAAUCCUGGAGCUCAACUCCAGAACUGCCUUUGAUACUGAAGAUCUCGAGUCCGGGAGAGGUGAGUGGAACUGCGAGUGUAGAGGUGAAAUUCGUAGAUAUUCGCAAGAACACCAGUGGCGAAGGCGGCUCACUGGCCCGGUACUGACGCUCAUGUGCGAAAGCGUGGGGAGCAAACAGG
rnacentral:rRNA from 1 species